rnacentral:rRNA from 1 species
GUGUGUUAGUGGAAGCGUCUGGAAAGGCGUGCGAUACAGGGUGACAGCCCCGUACACAAAAAUGCACAUAUUGUGAGCUCGAUGAGUAGGGCGGGACACGUGGUAUCCUGUCUGAAUAUGGGGGGACCAUCCUCCAAGGCUAAAUACUCCUGACUGACCGAUAGUGAACCAGUACCGUGAGGGAAAGGCGAAAAGAACCCCGGCGAGGGGAGUGAAAAAGAACCUGAAACCGUGUACGUACAAGCAGUGGGAGCACGCUUAGGCGUGUGACUGCGUACCUUUUGUAUAAUGGGUCAGCGACUUAUAUUCUGUAGCAAGGUUAACCGAAUAGGGGAGCCGAAGGGAAACCGAGUCUUAACUGGGCGUUAAGUUGCAGGGUAUAGACCCGAAACCCGGUGAUCUAGCCAUGGGCAGGUUGAAGGUUGGGUAACACUAACUGGAGGACCGAACCGACUAAUGUUGAAAAAUUAGCGGAUGACUUGUGGCUGGGGGUGAAAGGCCAAUCAAACCGGGAGAUAGCUGGUUCUCCCCGAAAGCUAUUUAGGUAGCGCCUCGUGAAUUCAUCUCCGGGGGUAGAGCACUGUUUCGGCAAGGGGGUCAUCCCGACUUACCAACCCGAUGCAAACUGCGAAUACCGGAGAAUGUUAUCACGGGAGACACACGGCGGGUGCUAACGUCCGUCGUGAAGAGGGAAACAACCCAGACCGCCAGCUAAGGUCCCAAAGUCAUGGUUAAGUGGGAAACGAUGUGGGAAGGCCCAGACAGCCAGGAUGUUGGCUUAGAAGCAGCCAUCAUUUAAAGAAAGCGUAAUAGCUCACUGGUCGAGUCGGCCUGCGCGGAAGAUGUAACGGGGCUAAACCAUGCACCGAAGCUGCGGCAGCGACGCUGAUGCGUUGUUGGGUAGGGGAGCGUUCUGUAAGCCUGUGAAGGUGUGCUGUGAGGUAUGCUGGAGGUAUCAGAAGUGCGAAUGCUGACAUAAGUAACGAUAAAGCGGGUGAAAAGCCCGCUCGCCGGAAGACCAAGGGUUCCUGUCCAACGUUAAUCGGGGCAGGGUGAGUCGACCCCUAAGGCGAGGCCGAAAGGCGUAGUCGAUGGGAAACAGGUUAAUAUUCCUGUACUUGGUGUUACUGCGAAGGGGGGACGGAGAAGGCUAUGUUGGCCGGGCGACGGUUGUCCCGGUUUAAGCGUGUAGGCUGGUUUUCCAGGCAAAUCCGGAAAACUAAGGCUGAGGCGUGAUGACGAGGCACUACGGUGCUGAAGCAACAAAUGCCCUGCUUCCAGGAAAAGCCUCUAAGCAUCAGGUAACAUCAAAUCGUACCCCAAACCGACACAGGUGGUCAGGUAGAGAAUACCAAGGCGCUUGAGAGAACUCGGGUGAAGGAACUAGGCAAAAUGGUGCCGUAACUUCGGGAGAAGGCACGCUGAUAUGUAGGUGAAGUCCCUCGCGGAUGGAGCUGAAAUCAGUCGAAGAUACCAGCUGGCUGCAACUGUUUAUUAAAAACACAGCACUGUGCAAACACGAAAGUGGACGUAUACGGUGUGACGCCUGCCCGGUGCCGGAAGGUUAAUUGAUGGGGUCAGCGCAAGCGAAGCUCUUGAUCGAAGCCCCGGUAAACGGCGGCCGUAACUAUAACGGUCCUAAGGUAGCGAAAUUCCUUGUCGGGUAAGUUCCGACCUGCACGAAUGGCGUAAUGAUGGCCAGGCUGUCUCCACCCGAGACUCAGUGAAAUUGAACUCGCUGUGAAGAUGCAGUGUACCCGCGGCAAGACGGAAAGACCCCGUGAACCUUUACUAUAGCUUGACACUGAACAUUGAGCCUUGAUGUGUAGGAUAGGUGGGAGGCUUUGAAGUGUGGACGCCAGUCUGCAUGGAGCCGACCUUGAAAUACCACCCUUUAAUGUUUGAUGUUCUAACGUUGACCCGUAAUCCGGGUUGCGGACAGUGUCUGGUGGGUAGUUUGACUGGGGCGGUCUCCUCCUAAAGAGUAACGGAGGAGCACGAAGGUUGGCUAAUCCUGGUCGGACAUCAGGAGGUUAGUGCAAUGGCAUAAGCCAGCUUGACUGCGAGCGUGACGGCGCGAGCAGGUGCGAAAGCAGGUCAUAGUGAUCCGGUGGUUCUGAAUGGAAGGGCCAUCGCUCAACGGAUAAAAGGUACUCCGGGGAUAACAGGCUGAUACCGCCCAAGAGUUCAUAUCGACGGCGGUGUUUGGCACCUCGAUGUCGGCUCAUCACAUCCUGGGGCUGAAGUAGGUCCCAAGGGUAUGGCUGUUCGCCAUUUAAAGUGGUACGCGAGCUGGGUUUAGAACGUCGUGAGACAGUUCGGUCCCUAUCUGCCGUGGGCGCUGGAGAACUGAGGGGGGCUGCUCCUAGUACGAGAGGACCGGAGUGGACGCAUCACUGGUGUUCGGGUUGUCAUGCCAAUGGCACUGCCCGGUAGCUAAAUGCGGAAGAGAUAAGUGCUGAAAGCAUCUAAGCACGAAACUUGCCCCGAGAUGAGUUCUCCCUGACUCCUUGAGAGUCCUGAAGGAACGUUGAAGACGACGACGUUGAUAGGCCGGGUGUGUAAGCGCAGCGAUGCGUUGAGCUAACCGGUACUAAUGAACCGUGAGGCUUAACCUUACAACGCCGAAGGUGUUU